UUUUUGUAAAUAAUUUAAAGUCUAGUCUGCCCCCUGAAAAAUUUAAAGGGCUGCAGUAUUUUGACUGUACAAAGGUAGCAUAAUCAUUUGUCUCUUAAUUGGUGACUUGUAUGAAAGAUUGGAUGAAAUAUAUACUGUCUCAUUAUAAUUAAUAAAAUUUAAUUUUUUAGUUAAAAAGCUAAGAUGAUUUUAAAAGACGAGAAGACCCUAUAGAGUUUGAUAAUUGUUAUUAUAUUAGGAUAAUGUAAAAUUUUAAAUUAAAAUAAUGAUAAUUAUUUUGUUGGGGUGACAAAAAAAUAAAAUAAACUUUUUUUAAAUAAUUUACAUAUAUAAAUGAAUAAAUGAUCCAUUUUUAGUGAUUAAAAGAAAAAAUUACCUUAGGGAUAACAGCGUAAUUUUUUUUUUUAGGUCUAAUAAGAAAAAGAGUUUGCGACCUCGAUGUUGGAUUAAGAUAAAAUUUAAAUGCAAAAGUUUAAAAUUUUGAUCUGUUCGAUCAUUAAAA
rnacentral:rRNA from 1 species